rnacentral:rRNA from 1 species
CAUCUACGGGGGGCAGCAGUAGGGAAUCUUCCACAAUGGGCGCAAGCCUGAUGGAGCAACACCGCGUGAGUGAAGAAGGGUUUCGGCUCGUAAAGCUCUGUUGUUGGAGAAGAACGUGCGUGAGAGUAACUGUUCACGCAGUGACGGUAUCCAACCAGAAAGGCACGGCUAACUACGUGCCAGCAGCCGCGGUAAUACGUAGGUGGCAAGCGUUAUCCGGAUUUAUUGGGCGUAAAGCGAGCGCAGGCGGUUGCUUAGGGCUGGUGUGAAAACCUUCGGCUUUACCGGAGAA